GGCAAGAUGGCCGAGCAGUUUAAGGCGCCGCGUUAGGGAGAUAAUAUCCCUUAAUUCACGGUGUGACAUCCUGUUACAUCACAUUAUUCCGUGGUCCGAAAGGGCCUAGGUUCGAAUCCCACUCUUAUCA